rnacentral:rRNA from 1 species
UACGGAGGGUGCAAGCGUUAUCCGGAUUCACUGGGUUUAAAGGGUGCGUAGGCGGGUUGGUAAGUCCGUGGUGAAAUCCCCAAGCUUAACUUGGGAACUGCCGUGGAUACUAUCAAUCUUGAAUAUCGUGGAGGUAAGCGGAAUAUGUCAUGUAGCGGUGAAAUGCUUAGAUAUGACAUAGAACACCAAUUGCGUAGGCAGCUUACUACACGAUCAUUGACGCUGAGGCACGGAAGCGUGGGGAGCAAACAGG